rnacentral:lncRNA from 1 species
AUGAAAUUGAAGGUAUACAUUGGACUAGAUUAUAUUUUUCAGUACUUGAAAAUGACUGAGAAUCAAUAGGACUUAUCUGGGAUGUUAUGGAGAGAUGGGGAAGUAAGAUUCAGAAGAGUGUAUUUGAAGUGAUGAAAAGAAAUUAAAGUGUUUUUCCCAUUGAGUUCAGUGUAUUUGAUGAUUUUCUUGGUUUGAUAGGAUUUUAAUUUAGUUGAAAAAACCCUUAGUGAGUACCUACAAUAUGUAAGUUACUCUGUUAAACAUUUUGGGGCAGGCAAAGGUGACUAAUAUUUUCUGUCCUGAGGGAGUUUCUGCUUUAGUGUAAGUAGGUAAACCUAUUCCAUAGCAGAGUGUCAAAGAGACUCUGGACCUGUGCUAUGCGAAUGUGAAUACCACUAAGGUUCAGGGCAAGUUUUGUGGGGGAGGCUGAAUAUGGGCCAGGCUUUGAAGGACGGAUGGUAAUAGCUGGGAAGAAGGGCAUUCUAGCAUGAGGGAAUAAUCAAAAGUGUGGAAUUAGGAAUGAAUUGAUGACUGGGAGGAAAUAAUGCUCAUCCACAAUGAAAAUUUUACUUUUGGAAAAAUGGUUUCAGUCACCAGUUAAACAUGCUUGCCCAUGUUAUAAUUCUGGUUGAAGUUUGUUUUUCUUACAUGUCAUUUUUGCAUUUCAUAGUAAUGCAGAAGGUAUCUUCCUUUAUGAGAUAUAACAUGGAAACAUUAUUCACUUUAAAACCUAGCUAAUUAUAAGCACCAAACCCAAAUUUCUAAGUCGAAUCACAAAGUCCAUUACUUUCCUUGAUUUAAAACAGUAAAAUGUAGAGAAGAUGAUGAUUUUUACAUAUGAUCUUAAGCAUUUGGCAGUGCAAUUAGUUUCAUAACAAGUGAUUGUUUUUUAAAGCCUUCCCAGAAUAAGAAUGAGUAUCUUGAUGUUAGUGUCACUUUUAAAUAGCUAUAGCUCCAGGAAUGUGUCUGUUCACGUUGUUAUCUUAAAUACACACCUUAUCUAUCCAUAUUGCUAUACUUUAGAUGUGGAAUUUUACAGACACACACACACACACACACUCACAUGCACACACGCACACACACACACCAUGAUACCCAGUGGUUUACUUUGCCUUCCCAAAAAAUCUUUAUAAGAGUUUUUUUCCCUCUGAACUCCAGACACAUAUCCAGUUGUCUUGUGAUACCUCCAUAUGGAUAUUUAAAGAUACUUAAAUGUAAAAAUGCUCAAGAUGCAAUUGAUCUUUUUAUCCAUACUUGUUUCAUCUUUAGUCUAUCUAAGUUAUUGACAAUUACAUUCAUGUUACUCAGACUAAAAACCUUGGCAUCAUUCCUGACUCCUCCCUCUCACAUCUACACCUUAUCUGUCAAUAGUUUAUGUUGUCUUUCCUGGAAAUACAACUAGAAUCUGAAUCUGACAAUCUCUUACCACCUGCACUACUGCCUGGUCCAACUUAUUAUCAUCUUUUACUUGGAUUAUUUUAAGUCUCCUCACUGGGCUUCUAGCUUCCUCUUAGAAUCCUCAACCCAUAACCUAGCACAUCAGUCUAGUCUCAGUGCAGUAGCCAGAAUAAUCACAGUUAAAACAUAAGUCAAAUGCGGUCAUUCUUCAAUUCACAACUUUGUUUCCUUUCUUAUUCGCUGUAAAAACUAAAGUCUUUCUGGUUGCCUUUAAGGCUCUACAUGAUCUUGUCCCAUUUGCAGCCUCAUCUUUUGAAUGGUCUUGUUUACUGACUCCAGCUGACACCAUUCCUUGAAUAGGCCUCCUGUUUUCCUUCUAGGCCUUUGCAUUUGCCCUUCUCUUUGCCUGGAAUGCUCCCCCCCCCCCCAUAACUGCUUAGCCUGUUCCUUAAUCCUUCUUGAGUCUUUAUUGAAAUAUUACAUUCUUAGACCUUCCAUGACUAUCUUAUUUAAAAUAUCCCCUUCCUUCCACUUGUUUUAUUUUUCUGGUUAGCACUUUGCCAAACUUACUGUAUAUUUUCCAUUUUUUUUUUUUUUUUCGUCUUUUUGCCUCUUCUAGGGCGGCUCCCGCGGCAUAUGGAGGUUCCCAGGCUAGGGGUCGAAUUAGCACUAUAGCUGAUGGCCUACACCAGGGCCACAGCAAUGCUGGAUCCAAGCCGAGCCGCAUCUUUGACCUACACCACAGCUCAUGGCAACGCCAGGUCCUUAACCCACUGAACAAGGGCAGGGAUCAAACCCGCAACCUCAUGGCUCCUAGUCAGGUUCGUUAACCACUGUGCCACGACGGGAACUCCAAUUUUACUUUUUUAUGGUCAGUGUUUUCCUUUUCCUUUUAGGAUAAAAGUUUGAUGAAGGCAAGGGUUUUAUUUUGUUUACUCCUAUCCCACCCCACUUAGAAUCAUGCUUAGUGCAUAGUUCAUACUUGAAUACAUGAUUGAUUGCAUGAAUAAAAUAAAAUAAUAAACUUAGUAUGUAGGAGUUAAACCGGUAGUAAAACUUGAUGUGCCCUUACUGGCAUCUUUGGGCAAUUAUGAUAUUUCCAAAUGUCUGAAUGUUACUUUUCCUUUUGAAUUUUUAAAUCAAGUGUAUUGGGAUAAAAUUUACAUAUAAUAAAAGGAUCUUAUUUUAAAUUUACAGUUCAGUAAAUUUUGACAGAUGUACACACCUAUGUAAGUACUGUUAUAAUCAAGGUAUAAUCGCAUCACUUCAAACAGUUGCCUUGUGUCUCUUUGCAAUCACUUCUUCCCUCCCUCAUGCUUAUUUCCAGACAACUAUUGAUCUGAUUUUUGUCACUAAGAAUUAGUUUUUCCUGCUCUAGACUUUCAUAUAAAUAGAAUCACAUAUGAGGUACUUUUUUCAUCAUGAUGUUUUUGAAGCUUCCUAUGUUAUUGUAUGCCCUGGUAGUUAGUUCCUUUUCACUGCUGAAUAGGUUUCAUUGUAUAAAUGUGCCACAACUUGCUUUUCCACUUACAUGUUCAUGGACAUUUAGGGUGUUUCCUAUAGGGAAUAAGCUACUGUGAAUGCUCACGUACAGAUCUUUGUUUCUUAUGCUUUAAUUCUUCUGGGUCAGUUACCCAGGAGUAGAAUUUUAGUGACAUAUGAUACGUGUAUGUUUUAACUUCGUAAGAAACUGUCAGACUGUUUUCAAAGUGAUUGUACCAUAUUCUCCCCAAUUAUGUGAAAGUUCUAGUUGCUCCACAUUCUGGCCAGCGCUUGAUGUUAUCAUUCUUUUAAUUAGAUAUUCCAGUGGCUCACUAUAGCUCUAAUUUGCAUUUCUUUAUUUACUAGUGACGUUGAUUGUUUCAUUUACUUAUUGACCAUUUGUUUAUCUUCUUUUGUGAAGUAGCUAUUCACAUCUUUUGUCCAGUAAAACAAAAUUGGAUUGUUUGUCUUCUUGUCUUUCAGUUUUAAGAGUUCUUUAUAUAUCUGGAUACUAGUACUUUGUCAAACAUAUUUUCUCCUGGUCUAUAGAUUGUUAUUUUUCUUUCAUUAAUGGCGUCUUUUGAAAAGCAGAGAUUUUAAUUUUUAGUAAGCCCAUUUUAUCAGUGUUUCACCCCUUCUUCCAUCCUUGCCUCCCCUGUCCCUCCCUUCUCCAAGAAAACUUUGAUUAAUUCUAGGUGGUGAAGAUUUUCUCUUGUGUUUUCUUCUAAGUUUUAUAGGUUUGGUUGAGAUCAUGUGGCUGAGGACCCCAUUAUUGGGUUAGUGUCAGCCAGAAGACCUUCACCCAGCAACAAAAUUGGCACACCUUGAUCUUGGAUUUUCACAGCCUGCAGAACUAUGAGAAAUACAUUUCUAUUGUUGAGUCAGCUAGUCUGUGGUGCUUUGUUAUGGCAACUGGAGCUAAGACAGGGGACAGUGUAACAUCCUUGUCAGAUUUUGGUAUCAAGGUAAUGAUCAUUUAAUUAGAAAAGUCAUUUGACAAAAUACAAUACCCUUUUAUAAUUAAAACACUUAAACUAGAAAAAAGCAAAACCAUCUCUUUGCAGAUGACAAGAUCUUCUUUAUAGAAAGUCUUAAGGAAUCCAUUAAAAUCUAUUGUAAUCAGUAAAUUAUCAUCAAAUUGCAAAGUACAAGAGCAAUAUACAAAAAUUAAUUGUAUUUCUGUACAAUAGCAGUGAACAAUAUAAAAGUGAAAUUGAGAAAACAAGUCUAUUUACAAUAGCAACAAACGAUCAAACAGAAACAAUUUUAACAAAAGCAGUGGAAGAAUUGCUGGAAAAAGUUGAAAUAGUUUUUAAUUGAGGACAGGCACUAUUUAUGGUGGCAUGGGUGAACCACAUAAGCCCUCAAUAACCUGUGUACAAAUGAUAGGCAGAUGGAUAUUUUCUGUCUGCCAUGAGUAAGUCUGGAAAUGGGUGUCAUGGUAGAAACAAGGAGGACCGCUUGGGUGUUGGUUGCCCUUUUAGAUUCUCAGAAGCCUAUAUCUAGGUGUAUAAAUUAGGGAGGACCCAGUGUGCUUUUGCUUAGCCCAACUUUCACUGACUGAGCAAUCUAUUUUCAGAUACUUCUUCAGAUAGUGGAUGUCGUCCGUCAUUGCUUAAUUUUACACACUCUUCCACUUAUUUAUACACACUGUCAUUUGCUGAGGUCAUCCCUUCAAAAAAUACUUUCUAGAGGACCCGGGAUGUGCUGGGUGCUAGUGCUGGCACUAAAAUGAUAAAAAAGACAAGCCUCCUGGAGGAGUGAUAAUGGCCAUCAGAAGUCUUGAUUAGUGAUUUGAGGCCACAGUUUAAGGAACCCGGCAUUUACCACUUAUAUUUGCUCCAAAAGCAUGGACCUCAUAAUAGAGUUCCUAGGAAAUGGAAUGAUAAACUGGAACUAUUAGCUUAGGUGUCAGUAUUCAACAGAUGCUUCUGUAUCCCAAGGAAGUACCAUGACAUAAACAGAAUUGUGAAAAGUUAGUUUUGUGACCUUUGAAACCCUUCACUCAAAUAGAGGAUAUCAGAAGAGAGAGAUUUCAUUAGGUGAAUUUUUCUGGAAUGCUGUGUGUUUUAGUCCUGCCUUUUGCAAGUAGGGGAUCUGAAUUAAGCCAAGAGGAGUUGCAGCUCUAGAACAUGGGUCUGCAGUUGGGAUCACAAGGGCCUGAUGCUUUGACCCCAUGCCUGUGAAAGCUUAAAUGUUCUGUGGCAGUGGGCUGGAUUUGAGAAGUAAUGGCACUGCUUUCUUUCAGCAGGUGAAAAGUAUAUGUAUGUAUCCCAGUAUAUGAAUACCGACCUGGUGUUAAUUGAAAAGAAAGCUGCCCAAGAAAGUUUUAUGCUAGGGAAGAAGAUCCUAGCAUUAAGGAGUUGUGGGGUGUAUGGCCCCGAGUCAGAAACUGAGGAGCCAUUGGGAUGGAGCUAAGGGACAGCAUUGCCCUGGCAGGAGUUUUGAAAUUGGAAGACUAUACGCUUGGAAGAAUGCAUAUACACUACCCAAGAGAAGGAAGAUCAGCUUUAAGCACCUGCCUUAAUCUACAUAGCCCUAGGUCAUUGUGGUACUGUAGCAGUUGAAGAAUUAUCCUGUUAUGUCUGACCUCUUCUCCCCUCCCUGACCUAGGUCCUGGUGAGCUCAGAAAAGAAAAAUUUCCUCCUGAGAAGAGGAGCUUGCUUGCCCCUUUCCUCACUGACAGUGGCCAGCUCUGGGCAGGCCCUAGCUGGAAAAUAUGGCUUAAUGGUAACUGUACUUUGGAGUUUUAACUAUUAUUUAGAUGUAGUCUUCUAAUUUUGAAAAAGUUCAAACCUACAGAAAUGUUGAAAUAGUAAUCUAGUAAACAUCUCAUGCCUUUUAUCAGCUAAUGACAUUUGGCUAUAAAAAUACAAGCAUAUUCUGUAUGCUUUUUUAUGGCCAGUGGAGUGGGGCUGAACCAUUUGAAAAUGACACUUUAGGGAGUUCUUGUCGUGUGUCAGCAGGUAACGAACACUAGUAUCCAUGAGGAAGCGGGAUUGAUCCCUGGCCUUGCUCAGUGGGUUAAGAAUCCAGCGUUGCUGUGAGAAGUGGUGUAGGUUGCAGGGACGGCUUGGAUCCUGCGUUGCUGUGGCUGUGGUGUAGGGGGCCGGUUGGACUCCUAGCCUGGGAACCUCCGUAUGUCU